rnacentral:lncRNA from 1 species
UUUAAGUACAGAUAACUAUCAGGGUACAAAAAGGCAAGAAAACAUGACAAAAUGAAAGGAUUAUUGAUGGGCAAUAAAGGAAGCAUAGUAGGUUUACCUUGAGAUUUCACUGAGCUAAUAUACUGGCUCCCAUUUCUAUGUUUAUUACAGGAAAAAGAGAAAAACACUAAUCCAGGGAUAGAGCUGACUAGGGAUGCCCAAGUCAAAAAGACUUUGUAGCACUGGGCUUGGCAGAGGGUCCUAAAGCUAAAUGCAGAAGACUGCGGGAAAUGUCUUCAACUGGGGCUAAAGGUCACAAGCAAGGACAAUGAACCUGGAAUUUGGAGGAAUUCAUACUCCAGUGAAGAAUUUCCAGACCCCUCAUGAAAAUAGCAGAUUGCCUACUCACCAGAGAAUACUCAAGAUGAAACUAAGCCGCCCCUGGAGAAAAUUGAACUCUCAGAACCUGACUGACAGUCUGCUCUUAAGAACAUUAGCUCAAUCUGGAGAGAAAUGUGUGUUUCGAGCUGGCUAGAAAAGUUCUUCUUUUAUAUAGAUUUCAGACAGAAGCAGAAGGAGACUUAGAGGUUCUUCGUCAUAAGUUGCCAAAAUGAAACAGAACUAUGAAAAGAAAAUGGAGACACUUCUUCAGGAGGUGCCUGUGAUGUGAUUUACUUGAUAAUUAUGGCUUACAGGGUAUUGAGAUGGGAUUGUAUAACUGAAAUAUAAACUGGAUAUGAGUAGAGAUUUGAAA